rnacentral:rRNA from 1 species
GAUGAACGCUGGCGGCGUGCCUAAUACAUGCAAGUCGAGCGGUAACAGGCUCUCACAGUUCGCAUAAGUUCCAUGUCCUCGGAUAUGGAUGACAAAACCACAAACAACGGCCGGCUAGCCGGGAAUGGUGGCAGCGUUUAUUAUGCGUUGUGUGAGAGUGCUGACGAGCGGCGGACGGCUGAGUAACGCGUAGGAACGUA